UCAAAGGAAUUGACGGGACCGCACAAGCAGCGGAGCGUGUGGUUUAAUCGUUGCUACACGAAGAACCUUACCUGGGUUUGACAUAUAGGUUGUAGGGAACUGAAAAGGGACCGACCCUUCGGGAGCCUAUACAGGUGUUGCAUGGCUGUCGUCAGCUCGUGUCGUGAGAUGUUCGGUUAAGUCCGCUAACGAGCGCAACCCUCGUCGUAUGUUAUAUGUGUCAUACGAGACUGCCGGUAAAAGCCGGAGGAAGGUGAGGAUGAUGUCAAGUCAGCAUGACCUUUAUAUCCAGGGCUACACACACGCUACAAUGGUCUGUACAAUGGGUAGCCAAGCCGCGAGGCGGAGCCAAUCCUGAAAGCAGGCCUCAGUUCAGAUUGCAGUCUGCAACCCGACUGCAUGAAGAUGGGUUGCUAGUAACCGCAGGUCAGCUAUACUGCGGUGAAUACGUUCCCGGGUCUU
rnacentral:rRNA from 1 species